rnacentral:lncRNA from 1 species
GAAAUUACAAACAUUUGGCCUUGUCGCCAUCUUUGCUGCAUUUUGUGUGUUGCGGCGGACGCGUGGUAUUGCCGGUUCUGGGCUGCAUGGAUUCGAAGAGGGCUGAGCUUGAUGAAGCGAUGUCGAAGACGUUUGCGGACAGAAGGAUCCUGGUGGUGACGAAGAGGCUAUCCGUACCCAAGCUGAAGAAGCUCUACCCUGCCCUCUUUCAGGAAAUGGAGAUCUGGGCGGAGCUUGCCCGAAUCAGGGGCGGUUGAUCGACCAAGGAGAAUGAGCUGGAGAGGGCGCGUGAGAACCUUUCCAAGGUGCUCACAAAGUUCCAAGUCUGUGAAACGAAUGAAGCUGCGCUGGAGCAUCUCCUCAUCGAACUUCGCGAGGAAGACGCUCUUUACGCGGCACCGACGGCCGGAGGUCCAAUGGUUAUAUGGCGUGAUGCCAUCUGGGUCGAGGGAGAGAAGGUAGCUGAUUUUGAGAUACUGAACAAGAUCGACCAGUUCCUCACAUGGGAUGCUGCGUUCUCGGUGUUCGCUCAAAAGCCGACCAAGAAAAGCACGCGGUGCUCCGCAUACCUGGCAACCGUUAUGGUUCUCCAAACAGACGUGCUGAAGCCCCCGAAAGGCCUGGAGCGUAUCACUCAGUAAGCGUCAAGCUCAGUAGAUUCGUGUCGCCUGACUGUCCAUCUGAGGCCCGACUGAGUCGGGUAAGACUUACCUUUUUCCGUCUUGCGGAACUUCUUCACUGUCAGUGGGCCGAGAUAGUCGUGUGUUGAAAGGUCGUCUCAUGUCGACUCUCGCCUCUGGCAGGUCAGCCAUCCUGGGUAGCUGAGGGGUGGCUCUGCGGUUGCGGCAGAACGCACACUUCUGUUGACACACUUCUGUUCACACUUCUGUUGACACGAAAUGACAACAGAUGUGCUGUCAUUUCGGUUUGUGUCGUGUUUUUUUUUUUAAUAAAGUCGUUCGCCAAAAACA